rnacentral:rRNA from 1 species
GAUGAACGCUGGCGGCGUGCCUAAUACAUGCAAGUCGAGCGAACGGACGAGAAGCUUGCUUCUCUGAUGUUAGCGGCGGACGGGUGAGUAACACGUGGAUAACCUACCUAUAAGACUGGGAUAACUUCGGGAAACCGGAGCUAAUACCGGAUAAUAUUUUGAACCGCAUGGUUCAAAAGUGAAAGACGGUCUUGCUGUCACUUAUAGAUGGAUCCGCGCUGCAUUAGCUAGUUGGUAAGGUAACGGCUUACCAAGGCAACGAUGCAUAGCCGACCUGAGAGGGGGAUAGGCCACACUGGAACUGAGACACGGUCCAGACUCCUACGGGAGGCAGCAGUAGGGAAUCUUACGCAAUGGGCGAAAGCCUGACGGAGCAACGCCGCGUGAGUGAUGAAGGUCUUCGGAUCGUAAAAAUCUGUUAUUAGGGAAGAACAUAUGUGUAAGUAACUGUGCACAUCUUGACGGUACCUAAUCAGAAAGCCACGGCUAACUACGUG